GUGGGGAAUCUUCCACAAUGGACGAAAGUCUGAUGGAGCAACGCCGCGUGAGUGAAGAAGGGUUUCGGCUCGUAAAGCUCUGUUGUCGGGGACGAAUGUGCAGUAUUUGAAUAAAGUAUUGCAAUGACGGUACCUGACGAGGAAGCCACGGCUAACUACGUGCCAGCAGCCGCGGUAAUACGUAGGUGGCAAGCGUUGUCCGGAAUUAUUGGGCGUAAAGGGAGCGCAGGCGGGAAGGUAAGUCGGUCUUAAAAGUGCGGGGCUCAACCCCGUGAUGGGAUCGAAACUAUCUUUCUUGAGUGCAGGAGAGGAAAGUGGAAUUCCUAGUGUAGCGGUGAAAUGCGUAGAUAUUGGGAGGAACACCAGUGGCGAAGGCGGCCUGCUGGACAUUAACUGACGCUGAGGCGCGAAAGCGUGGGGAGCAAACAGGAUUAGAUACCCCGGUAGUCC
rnacentral:rRNA from 1 species